GCAAGUAAACUAGUGGUCCUGUGCGCUAUACUCCACAAUAUCGCGGUAAGGAGUAGCGUAGAGCUUCCUCAGACAGAGGAAUUGCCUGAUGAGGAGCCAGGGGUUGUCCGACACUUCGGUGGGGGGAGUGUUACAAGGAGGGGGAGCCAAGUCAGGGCAAGCAUUGUUGCUGAAUUUUUCAGCUGAAAGACCACACAAACUGAGGACGACCACAACGGCAAGCACCACAUGAUGCACCAGCUCAGCACCCUUCCCCUUCUCACUCCCCCUCCACUUCCCAGUCCCCCUCCCCUUCUCACUCCCCCUCCCCUUCUCACUCCCCCUCAGCUUCCCAAUCCCCCUCAGCUUCCCAAUCCACCUCAGCUUCCCAAUCACCCUCAGCUUCACAAUCCACCUCAGCUUCCCAGUCACCCUCAGCUUCCCAGGCCCCCUCAGCUUCCCAGGCCCCCUCAGCUUCCCAGGCCCACUCCACUUUCCACUCCCCUUCUCAGCCAACCUCUCCUUCUCUUUCUGUGACCCCUUCUCCUCCUUCCCAUACCCCUUCUCCUUCUACUUCCAACUCACCUUCUCAGCCCCCCUCACCCUCUAUUGGCCUAACAUUUUCACCGCCCCCUCGCCCUCUCAAUCAGACCCACCCUCUGAAAUUACAUCCCCAAUCCAACCUCCUUCCCCCAUCCAGCCUCCUUCCCCCAUCAAGCCUCCUUCCCCCAUCCAGCCUCCUUCCCCCAUCCAGCCUCCUUCCCCAAUCCCUCCUCCUUCCCCCAUCCAGCCGCCUUCCCCCAUCCAGCCGCCAUCCCCACCCAGUGAAUGGGCAGAGGAAGCCCCUGAAGACAGUUCAGGGAGUCUUCAUGUUGCCGAGGAAAGUAAGUGUUUUAACAUUUUGUUAAAAAUGAUUACCUACUUACACUUACAAUGACAAAACAUGCAGUGUUGUACUGUUGGAAUUCUUGUACCAAGGAAAAUUAUUUGUGUUUUUCUUCAUGGUGUACAUGUUGCAUUUACAUUUAUUUGAGUGUCAUUAUAUGUCCAGUGUUUAUGUGUGCCAUGUUUUGUGUGUCCACUCUAGGUCGACACUCAUUAGGUCAACAGGGUUGGCAGGACAACAGGGUUUAUAUGUGUUAGGUUUUCUGGGAAACAGUUAGACCUGAGUGGAGUUUAGUAUGUUGUUGUUCUUUUACACUUGUGCCUGUGUAUUCUUAAUAUUUACACUUACAAAUCACAUGCUUCACUUUGUUAGGCAGCCUA